rnacentral:lncRNA from 1 species
UGUACUCACAUUGCUUUUAUGUUUCCUAUGCAAAGGUAAGACUAUAUCUGACGAGUUUGACAGAAUCUUGACGGUAUUUACGCUCCAGAUGGCAUUUGUACUGUGCUAUGAACAAACUCUGUCCUGCGCCUAACUUGUUCUUAUAAAAAAAGGGAAGUGUCUUGUUAUGCUUAUACGCGUACUUAAUCCGCAUAUGAUGACUGAGAGAUUGAUUCAUGUCCCCA